ensembl:snoRNA small nucleolar RNA SNORA32
UGGUCAUUACCAAGGCUUUGAGGAAUUCAGUUUCUCAUUUGCUGUGGACAUGACCAUAAAAAAAAUUUCCCAUUAGGUUUUCUAUGUGCUACUUGGCUAGCUAUUAACCUGUUGGGCACAUGU